rnacentral:rRNA from 1 species
AGCGAACGCUGGCGGCGUGCCUAACACAUGCAAGUCGAACGUGAAAGGGAGCAAUCCCACGUCAAGUGGCGUACGGGUGAGUAACACGUAGGUAAUCUACCCCAGAAUCUGGAAUAACCGGCCGAAAGGCUGGCUAAUACUGGAUAGAGCGACGGAAUCCGUAAUUGGGUUUUUCGGGAAAGGGAGCCUGUAAAAAGGCCUUCGUUCUGGGAUGAGCCUGCGUCCGAUCAGCUAGUUGGUGAGGUAAAAGCUUACCAAGGCAAUGACGGGUAGCUGGUCUGAGAGGACGAGCAGCCACCCUGGAACUGAAACACGGUCCAGGCUCCUACGGGAGGCAGCAGUGGGGAAACGUGCGAAAUGGACGAAAGUCUGACGCAGCAACGCCGCGGGAGUGAAGAAGGCCUUCGGGUUGUAAAGCUCAGUCGGGUGGGACGAAAAUGCUUGGAGUUCACAGCUCCAGGAACUGACGGUACCACUAAAGGAAGCACCGGCUAACUCCGUG